CCACCGCGAGCACGCUCCAAGGCUUUACAAGGCUUUCUCCAUUCCUUCCCCAUCCAUCACUUCCCGGGAUCCCUUUGUGUUCUCUCGGAGCAACUUCUCCGUGGGCACCACCAGGAUUUGUGCCAGGGAAAGGAGGUCACUUCUGUCAUCUCUUCCAAGUUUUCCACAGGGCUUCCAUGCAGGAUUUAACCAAUCCUUGAGAAAUCAGUCCUGCUGGAUCCCUCUCCCUACAUGUUUGGGUGGGAAUUAUUCCUGGGCUGGAGUGGAUUUUCUCCAGGAAGAGCUGGAAUCCAAACCAUCCCGGAGCGUCAAUCCACGGUUCCUUCCCAAAGGACGGCUCCAAAGGUGUGGCCAUCCGGCACCUUCCCAGUGGAGCUGGAAUAUUUAGAGCCAGUCAGGAACAUCUGAGCGAGUCCCAGCAUGGCUCUUCUGAACUCCGGGGUGGGAACCACUGAUUUUGGGGGUCCUUGACUCCCAAAACGAAGGAUUUGGGGAGGAAAAAGUCCUUUCAUAAAUCAAGCGUGGAGAACAAAGGGAGGGAACAUGGGAAGCAGAGGGGAGACUUCCCUGUUUCUCGAGGAGCAGAAGAAGAGGGAUGGGGAUGGCAGCAUCGUUAAAGUGAACUCCUGACUGGAAUGACAAAAGGAAAAGAAAUUAAAGCCAGAUUUGUUCCCCUGGGCCGGAGGAAGGAGGAUCCCGUUGGAUUUGUUCCUCCUUUCUUGUUUCCUUCAAAGCCAGGAGAUCAAUUGUGGGCCUUAAUGAGAACCGUCUCGUGCCAGAGGUGGACAAUGGAGCGGGACAGGGACAUCCCGGGGAUUUUACAGCAGCUCAGAGCAUUGGGAUCCAUCCCUGGAAGUGCCAGCCCAUCCCUGGGAGUGGAGUGCCAGCCCGUCGUCUCUGGGCUUUCAGCAGGAAUGGGAGAACCUGGACACGUCCCGAUGCAGCGGAGCCUCCCAAAUCCGCACAGAGCCGCCUCUUCCGAGGCCUCCGC
rnacentral:lncRNA from 1 species